GAUGAACGCUGGCGGCGUGCCUAAUACAUGCAAGUCGAGCGAACAGAUAAGGAGCUUGCUCCUUUGACGUUAGCGGCGGACGGGUGAGUAACACGUGGGUAACCUACCUAUAAGACUGGGGUAACUUCGGGAAACCGGAGCUAAUACCGGAUAACAUUUGGAACCGCAUGGUUCUAAAGUGAAAGAUGGUUUUGCUAUCACUUAUAGAUGGACCCGCGCCGUAUUAGCUAGUUGGUAAGGUAACGGCUUACCAAGGCGACGAUACGUAGCCGACCUGAGAGGGUGAUCGGCCACACUGGAACUGAGACACGGUCCAGACUCCUACGGGAGGCAGCAGUAGGGAAUCUUCCGCAAUGGGCGAAAGCCUGACGCAGCAACGCCGCGUGAGUGAUGAAGGGUUUCGGCUCGUAAAACCCUGUUAUUAGGGAAGAACAAAUGUGUAAGUAACUGUGCACGUCUUGACGGUACCUAAUCAGAAAGCCACGGCUAACUACGUG
rnacentral:rRNA from 1 species